GAAAAAGAUAUGACAUUUCUUUCAUAAAAUAUUAUUGUUAGCGUAAUAAAAAUUGUCCAAAAAAUGUAACAACGUGUAUAUCAAUUUGUUCCAUGUCGAAAAGAAAAUUAUUAUCUGUGUCAGUUUUUUGGCACAAGUUUGGAACGAUCGAGAAAACAUCGUUUUCAAUAUCGCGGAAAAUCGAAGUGCCGGGACAAUUAAAUUGCAAUUUGAAUCGGCGUGUUACAGAAUGCUAUUUACUCUGCUGACUGUUCGAUGCUAAAUUACCGUUCAUCGUCAAUCCGGAAAGCUGCAAUAUUAGCGGCUAAUAAAUGAAUGGAUUUUAUCAUACGUCAAUAGACAAAGAACGAACAAAUGAACGAACGAACGAGCGAACGUUUCCAUUAAAAACGAUUGCAAGUCAGAUUCAACUAAAUUAUGGGGUACAAAAGCAAAUUAGGUUAUAGAGAGAAAAAAAGAAAUUUCAAACUCGUUCAAUAAAAUGAAAAUAAACUCUGUUCAGCUUACGAAACUCAGGAGAUAAAUUGUUUCAUUAUCAAUGAGCCACGUUUGUCUAAUCGUACAUCCUUUUCCUCUGCUUCAGACAUAGCAACGUAAUUAUGUUGUCGGUAGUAUUAAUUUGCGAUGAAACUUAUAUUAUACGUAAAGAGGAUUAAUGAGUUAAAGUUAAAUGAAAUGGUUAAUUGUGGUAAAAAAAUACUGUAUUAAAUACUUUCGAUUAAGUAUGUUGGAAUGUUCAUAAAAGAAAAUAGUAAAAACAAAAAAAAAA